rnacentral:rRNA from 1 species
GACAGAGGAUGCAAGCGUUAUCCGGAAUUAUUGGGCGUAAAGAGCUCGUAGGCGGUUUGUCGCGUCUGCUGUGAAAACCCGAGGCUCAACCUCGGGCCUGCAGUGGGUACGGGCAGACUAGAGUGCGGUAGGGGAGAUUGGAAUUCCUGGUGUAGCGGUGGAAUGCGCAGAUAUCAGGAGGAACACCAAUGGCGAAAGCACUCUGCUGGGCCGACACUGACACUGAGAGACGAAAGCUAGGGGGAGCGAAUGGG